rnacentral:rRNA from 1 species
GGAAUCUUGCGCAAUGGGCGAAAGCCUGACGCAGCGACGCCGUGUGGGUGAUAAAGGCCUUCGGGUCGUAACGCCCUGUCAGGGGGGACGACAUCUUGGCGACCUAAUACGUCGUCGACUUGACGGUACCUCCACAGGAAGCCCCGGCUAACUCCGUGCCAGCACCCGCGGUAAUACGGAGGGUGCUAGCGUUGUUCGGACUUACUGGGCGUAAAGCGCGUGUAGGCGGCCUUUUAAGUUUGAUGUGAAAGCCCGGGGCUCACCCCCGGAAGUGCAUUGGAUACUGGAAGGCUGGAGUACCGGAGAGGAGGGUGGAAUUCCUGGUGUAGCGGUGAAAUGCGUAGAUAUCAGGAGGAACACCUGUGGCGAAGGCGGCCCUCUGGACGGAUACUGACGCUGAGACGCGAAAGCGUGGGGAGCAAAC